CUAAGCGGAGGAAAAGAAACUAACCAGGAUUUCCUUAGUAGCGGCGAGCGAACAGGAAAGAGCCCAGCACCGAAUCCCGCGGUUCCGCCGCAGGGAAAUGUGGUGUUUGGGAGGGUCCGCUUAUCCCGAGGCGUCGCGUCGCGUCCAAGUCCAUCUUGAAUGGGGCCACUUACCCGCAGAGGGUGCCAGGCCCGUAGCGACCGAUGCCCGUCUCGGGAGGAUCUCUCCUUAGAGUCGGGUUGCUUGAGAAUGCAGCUCUAAGUGGGUGGUAAACUCCAUCUAAGGCUAAAUACGACCACGAGACCGAUAGCGAACAAGUACCGUGAGGGAAAGUUGAAAAGAACUUUGA
rnacentral:rRNA from 6 species